CACGUAGGAGACGAGCGUUAUCCGGAUUUACUGGGCGUAAAGCGCGGGUAGGUGGGGUCUUAAGUCAUGCGUGAAAGCCCCCCGGCUCAACCGGGGGAGGCCGUCGGGGACCUCAGGGCUGGAGGCCGGCAGGGGUGAGCGGAAUUCCCGGUGUAGUGGUGGAAUGCGUAGAGAUCGGGAGGAACACCAGUGGCGAAGGCGGCUCACUGGGCCGGACCUGACGCUGAGGCGCGAAAGCGUGGGGAGCGAUCCGG
rnacentral:rRNA from 1 species